UACGUAGGGGGCGAGCGUUGUCCGGAAUCAUUGGGCGUAAAGCGCGUGUAGGCGGCUCGAUAAGUCUGGUGUGAAAUCUUGGGGCUCAACCCCAAGCGGUCACUGGAUACUGUCGGGCUAGAGUCCGGAAGAGGAGAGUGGAAUUCCUGGUGUAGCGGUGGAAUGCGCAGAUAUCAGGAGGAACACCAAUGGCGAAGGCAGCUCUCUGGUACGUGACUGACGCUGAGACGCGAAAGCGUGGGGAGCGAACAGG
rnacentral:rRNA from 1 species